UUUUUUCAACAAUAAUAAAGGAUUUAUUUUUAGGUAAAUUGAGAAAACUUAGCUUAGAGAGAGAGAUAGAGAAAUUUAAGUUUAAAGAAAGAGAUAGUUGAGAUUAGAAAGAGAAUUUUUUAGAUUAGAGAUAUGAAGAGAUAAAAAGAGCGGAACAGCUUAGUUUAAAAAGAGAUAUUUGAGGUUAGAGAGAACGACAAAAUUGAGAUUUUAAAGAGAGAGGGAGAGAGCAUAGGUUAGGAAGAGAGAAUAGUUAAAGAAAUUGGAAGAGAGAUAGAGUCGAGAUUAGAGAAAGUGAAAGAGUUGAUAUUUUAGAAAGAGAGGGGGGGGGGAGAGAGCUUAGAUUAUAUAGAGAAAAAAUUUUAAGUUUAGAGAGAGAAAGAUAAAGUUAGAGAGAGAUAUGAGAUUAAAGAGUAAAUAAAAAUAAUACCAACUAGCCAGUCGGUGAAGAGAAAGAAAAUGAGUGUGCCGGAUUAGACAUAUUAUGAUUAUUCUAAUUUAUUAUUAUGAGGAUAUCUACUUUUUUUUUUCAAGGACUUUAGGAUUAAACUCAUUUCGAAGGAAAUCCAACAUUAUCAACUAAACUACUUAGUGCGUUAGUCAAAUGCCAUCGUAUUCUUUUUAUUACUAUUGAAUUACUGAGAAUCUUGAAAAGAUAGCGCGAACCAUACGUAACUUCAAAGUUAUUAUUCUAAAUUUUAUUAUUUAUUUAUAUAUGAAUAUAUAAUU
rnacentral:lncRNA from 1 species